AGUGGCGGACGGGUGAGUAACGCGUAAGAAUCUAACUUCAGGACGGGGACAACAGUUGGAAACGACUGCUAAUACCCGAUGUGCCGCAAGGUGAAACCUAAUUGGCCUGGAGAAGAGCUUGCGUCUGAUUAGCUAGUUGGUGGGGUAAAGGCCUACCAAGGCGACGAUCAGUAGCUGGUCUGAGAGGAUGAGCAGCCACACUGGGACUGAGACACGGCCCAGACUCCUACGGGAGGCAGCAGUGGGGAAUUUUCCGCAAUGGGCGAAAGCCUGACGGAGCAACGCCGCGUGAGGGAGGAAGGUCUUUGGAUUGUAAACCUCUUUUCUCAAGGAAGAAGUUCUGACGGUACUUGAGGAAUCAGCCUCGGCUAACUCCGUGCCAGCAGCCGCGGUAAUACGGGGGAGGCAAGCGUUAUCCGGAGUUAUUGGGCGUAAAGCGUCCGCAGGUGGUCAGCCAAGUCUGCCGUCAAAUCAGGUUGCUUAACGACCUAAAGGCGGUGGAAACUGGCAGACUAGAGAGCAGUAGGGGUAGCAGGAAUUCCCAGUGUAGCGGUGAAAUGCGUAGAGAUUGGGAAGAACAUCGGUGGCGAAAGCGUGCUACUGGGCUGUAUCUGACACUCAGGGACGAAAGCUAGGGGAGCGAAAGGGAUUAGAUACCCCUGUAGCCCUAGCCGUAAACGAUGGAUACUAGGCGUGGCUU
rnacentral:rRNA from 1 species